UACGUAGGGUGCGAGCGUUGUCCGGAAUUAUUGGGCGUAAAGAGCUUGUAGGUGGCUCGUUGCGUCGGGAGCGAAAACCUGCGGCUUAACCGCAGGCCUGCUUCCGAUACGGGCGAGCUAGAGUUCGGCAGGGGAGACUGGAAUUCCUGGUGUAGCGGUGGAAUGCGCAGAUAUCAGGAGGAACACCGGUGGCGAAGGCGGGUCUCUGGGCCGAUACUGACACUGAGAAGCGAAAGCGUGGGGAGCGAACAGG
rnacentral:rRNA from 1 species